CCACUACCUGGGCUGUAGGAAAUGAGCAAUAACGAUGACAUCGAGGUGGAGAGCGACGAAGAGCAACCGAGGUUUCAAUCUGCGGCUGACAAACGGGCUCAUCAUAAUGCAUGGGAACGAAAACGUAGGGACCACAUCAAAGGCUUUCACCGUUGGCGGGACUCAGUCCCAUCACUCAAAGGAGAGACGGCAUCCCAGGCCCAAAUCCUAGACAAAGCCAGAGUAUAUCCAGCAUAUGCGAAGGAAAAACCACACACACCAGCAAGAUAUUGACGACCUCAAGCGGCAGAAUGCUCUUCUGGAGCAGCAAGUCCGUGCACUGGAGAAGGCGAGGUCAAGUGCCCAACUGCAGACCAACUACCGCUCCUCAGACAACAGCCUCUACACCAACGCCAAGGGCAGCACCAUCUCUGCCUUUGAUGGUUGAGGGAGUCUGAUGAUGGGAGGAUGAUGGGAGUUGGAGUCUGAGCCCGAAGAGCCCCAAAGCAGGAAGAAGCUCCGGAUGGAGGCCAGCUAAGCCCCUCGGGGCAGGCCAGCAAUAAAAACUGUCUCCAUCGUCUCAUCCUUUCAAUUCAUCUGUAGAACCCUCAGAACCAUUUAAGAGACUCUAUUUUUCUCUUUCUCCCUUUUUUAUUUUUAUUUUUACAUAGAAGCUCUUGGACAACAGCUCUAGUUCUCCUUCCCCAUUUCCACUGUUUAUUUUUUUAAAUGUAUUCCCUUCAGGGAUUCCCUGUCCCCACCAGGAAUUUUUAAACCAAAACACCCCAACUUGGCAGCUUUUUCUGUGGAGGACAGACGGCCGGCCGGACCUCUGAGCCCAUAGUAUCCUGCCCACCCUACCAGCUCCUCCAGCCCUGCUGGGCACAUACCCCGAGGAUGCCUGGCCUGCCCAGGUGGCCUCCUGGUCUACCCUCACCUCUGUAGGAUAGACUGUGAAUCUGUGAACUGCUCUACUUUGAGAAGAUGACCAGUUUCGAGUAAUCAGAAUUAACCCUCCUCCUUAAGGUUGUUUUUUUUUUUUCCUUUUUCUAAAAAGCUAUGUAUUGCUCCUAUUGAAAGACCAGAUCCUUAAAGAAGUUUGUGGUAUGAAAAGAAAGUGGGGACAGAUUCGCAGCACAGUCUUCGGCAUGUUUCACUCCUGCCACUCUCAGCCAGCUGUUUAGGCCUGCGGUGCCAGCCUCACGGAGAGCUGCGUGGAUUCUUGUGGUAUGCUUGGGAGAUGGCAGCAGUGAAGCAGCAGCCACCAGGGAGUGGCUGUUUGGGGUUGGGACAGGAUGUUUUGGGUGGCAUAGAGGUUUUGUAUUGAGGGCCAGUGAUGAUGAUUUGAUAUUUCCUGCUACUUAAAUUUGAAUCUGAGUGAAUUGUUCCUAUUUCUGAUGAUGUCGGUCUUGCAAAGCGACAGAUUCAUAAAGUAAUGAUGAAAUCUUCCCUUCUUCCCGUGUGUAUUUCUAAGAAAUAGAGCCAACUGAUUUUGUAUGUAAAUACCGAGAGCAAUUUACCUGGUAUUAAACCCGCACCCCAAUGCGGACCCUUCCCUGCCCUCACCCCACUUCCUUUCCUGCAGUCCUGAAACCUGUCUCCUUUGUGUGAUCCAGCCCUGGUUCUGGCUGUGGUCAACAGAUCCCAGUGAAGGGUUUUGUGUGUUUAGGCCUCAUUUCUUUGUCUUUUUCCUACUCCGUUCCUGGCAUUUGCUGAUUUCUAGUGUAUACUCUGUAGUCUCAGUUCGUGUUUGAUUCCAUUCCAUGGAAAUAAAAAGUAUGUUGUACAUACUGCUGAAGAAUUGUCUUGCAAUUUAAGGCUUCCCCCUUUACUAUAAGACUAUAAAUAAAAACUUAUUUUAUCCUUAAAAAAAAAAAAAA